UUUUCAUACCUAGCGGUGCGGCUUGGCUCCUACCUGGCGUAAUGCGCUCGAGACACAUCCCUUUAUUGGGCUAUAGUCGAGAUGUGUUUUUCGUUGGGCGGUGUUGGGUUUAGCUAACGUGAUGGUGUAUGAGUGGUAAUUGGGUUGUAUUGGACGGCAGGCUCCGUGCUUUGGCAUCGAACUGUCGGCUCGUACACCUCUUCAUGGAUGCAUCGAGAUUUCUCUUGUGCGCCUGUUGGGUUUCUGUUUUGGCUACCUUUUGGAAAGGAAUGUUGCCUCUCGUUGUCCCUUUUCCUCCUCUUGCUGGCCUUGCUGGCGGGGGGAUGACAUCUUAGCGGUGCUCGUGUCCCCGGCAACCCACACCUGUUGUGAGAUUGUUCUGGUCCUCGAGCUUCUGCUUGAUAUCUCGGAUGCAGAACACUAAAAGGACGGCGGGUCAGUAAUGGCCUCCAAUCGUCCACAAUCGAAGCCCUGUCGCUUGACGCGUACGACUGUUGUGCCCGUUGUGAGCUCUCGGCCGUUUUGGUCGUUUGUCCCGCGCGGUGCCGACGUCGAAGAGGAAUGC
rnacentral:misc_RNA from 1 species